UGCAAGGAUGGAACUCCUCCUCGUCCGACCUUGAGUCCUUCGUCCUGGAGUCGGAUGCGCCUGGGACUCCGCCUCGCCCGACCUCAAGCCUGGGGUCGGAUGCGCCUGACCCCUUGAGGGUCGAUCUCCGACUCGCCCGACCCCGAGUCCUGGGGUCGGGAGACGCUCCGACUCGCCCGACCCCAAAGUCCAGGGGUCGGGAGAUGCUCCGCCUCGCUCGAUCUCGAGUCCCGGGGUCGGGAGAUUCUCCGCCUCGCCCGACCCUGAGUGUUAAGGGUCGGGAAGGUCAGCCUUUAUCCUGGAGUGAAUUUGGAACAACUCCAACAAACUCCACCUUGAGACAAAUUCAUCUUGUAUCAUCAACCCUUCAUCCUGAACAGAAUAAAGACAGGAAAAACCACUGGUGCCAACAAUAGUCUCUUGGACUAUCCAAUUAAACCAACUAAGCCUGAGCACAGCUCAAACUUAGUAACAGGAACAGGCUUUGUCAUCAUAUCAGCAGGAUUAUCAUGAGUACUGAUCUUGCAUACCUUCAGCUUACCUUCUUCAAUCACAUCACGCACAAAAUGAUACUUGAUAUCAAUGUGCUUAGUUCUUUCAUGGAACAUUUGAUCUUUAGUGAGGUAAAUUGCACUUUGACUGUCACAGUGCAAACUUAUGCAAGAUUCAACUCCACAAAGCUCGGCGUACAAACCUUUCAGCCAAAUCAAUUCUUUGCACGCUUCACAAAUCGCCAUAUAUUCUGCUUCAGUAGUAGACAAAGCAACAACCGACUGUAAAGUAGCCUUCCAACUCACAGCACAACUGCCAACAGUAAACACAUAGCCUGUGAGUGAUCUUCGCCUGUCCAGAUCAGCAGCAUAAUCUGAGUCCACAUAGCCAACAAGACCCUCAUCAGUUCUUCCAAACUUUAAACAGGAAUUUGCUGUGCCUUUGAGGUAUCUGAAAAUCCACUGAACUGCCCUCCAAUGUUCUUUGCCGGGAUUAGACAUAUAUCUACUAACAAGACUCAUAGCAUAUGACAAAUCUGGGCGAGAGCAAACCAUGGCAUACAUCAAAGACCCAACAGCACUAGAAUAAGGAACCUUUGACAUGUCUUUGACCUCUGCAUCUGUACUAGGACACUGAGCAGCAGACAACUUGAAGUGAGGUGCAAUAGGAGUACUUACAGCCUUAGCAUCUUGCAUGUUGAAACGCUGAAGAACUUUCUUGAUAUAAUUCUGUUGACUAAGAAAUAGCAAACCAGAUUUUCGGUCUCUACUAAUUUCCAUACCAGGAAUUUUCUUAGCACUACCAAGAUCUUUCAUAUCAAAACCGCUACUCAAUAGCUUCUUUAACUUAUUUAUUUCAAUCUUACUCUUGGCAGCAAUCAGCAUAUCAUCAACGUAUAUCAGCAAGUAUAUAGGUGAUCCAUUAACAUGCUUGAUAUAAACACAGCUAUCAUACUUAGAUCUUUUAAAACUGUGUGAUAACAUAAAUGAAUCAAACCUCUUGUUCCACUGUCGAGGGGACUGUUUCAAACCAUACAAGGAUCUCUUCAACUUGCACACAUAUUUCUCCUUGCCAGGCACUAUGAAACCUUCUGGUUGGUCCAUGUAUAUGUCCUCCUCGAGUUCUCCAUGCAAAAACGCAGUCUUCACAUCUAACUGCUCAAGCUCAAGAUCAUGUGAAGCAACAACACUAAGGAAAGUGCGAAUUGAACUGUGUUUUACCACUGGAGAGAAAACAUCAUUGUAGUCAACACCCGGAAUUUGGCUGUAGCCUUUAGCAACUAACCUUGCCUUAUACUUUGGAGGCUCGCUUGGAGAUAAACCCUCCUUUCUCUUGAAGAUCCAUUUGCAGCGGAUGGCCUUCUUAUUCUUAGGCAAAGGUACAAGGUCCCAUGUACUGUUCUUCUCAAGAGAUUGCAUCUCCUCAUGCAUAGCCGAAAUCCAAUUCUCAGUAUCGCCACAAUGAAUAGCUUCUUUAUAGGUUGCUGGCUCAUGAACAUUCUCCACCUGUUCAGCACAACUCAAAGCAUGGUAAGACAAAUUACACUCUUCAAUGAGACGGUUAGGAGGGGCAACUGUCCUUUUGGACUUGCGGUGAGCAAUGGGUAGUUCCUCCUCUAGAGUUUGCUGGACAUCAUCAUGAGUAUCAGCCGACCCCGAGACUGAGGGGUCUGGCGCAUCAGCAACAUCCGACCCCGCCGCCAAGGGGUCUGGCGCAGCAACAUCCGACCCCGGAGCCAAGGGGUCUGGCGCUUGAGCAUCAGCCGACCCUGGAGCCAAGGGGUCUGGCGUAUCCGACCCCGAGACCAAGGGGUCGGGGUUAUCAGCAUCAUCACGAGCGUUCUCCACCUGCAUGCGCAUGCGCUGCAGCUCUUUGUCUGGAACUUGAUCUGAUGACAAGCUGUCAGUAAACAUCACAGAUUCAUUGAAAAUAACACUUCUGCUCAUAAAGGUCUUUCCUGUUUCCGGGUUCCACAAUUUAUAGCCUUUGACACCCGAGCCAUAACCAAGGAAAAGACAUUUAACAGCUCUAGGCUCUAAUUUUCCAUUAUCAACAUGAGCAUAUGCAGUGCAUCCAAAAACUUUCAGCUGUGAGUAAUCAGCAGGCGUACUAGACCAUACCUCAAUGGGAGUUCUUUUAUUUAGUGGAAUAGAAGGCGACCUGUUGAUCAAGUAACAGGCAGUAUUAGCAGCUUCAGCCCAAAAACGCUUGCUCAUCCUGGCAUUAGACAGCAUGCAACGAGCCUUGGAUACGAUGGAUCUGUUCAUGCGUUCAGCCACACCAUUCUGUUGUGGAGUAUGGGGUAUGGUGUGAUGCCUUACAAUGCCUUCUGAUCUGCAAUAAUCAUUAAAUUCACGCGAACAAAAUUCUCCACCAUUAUCAGUACGAAGCAAUUUCACCUUCCUUUCAGUUUGUCUUUCAAUCAUGACUUUCCAGUCCUUAAAAGCAGCAAAGGUAUCAUCUUUCUGUUUCAGAAAAUAAGGCCAAACCCUUCUAGAGUAAUCAUCAAUAAUUGUGAGCAUGUAACGAGCACCACCAAGCGAGGACUUACGGGAAGGACCCCAUAAAUCAACAUGAAUAUAAUCAAGAGUACCUUUAGUGGUGUGAACAGAAGUGUUGAAACGUACCCUUUUAUGCUUCCCGAAAAUACAGUGCUCACAAAACUUCAUUUUACUCGAAGUGCAGCCAUCCAGUAGGUUUCUCCUCAUCAAUUCUGCCAUACCAUGGUGACUCAUAUGUCCCAGACGCAUAUGCCAAAGGUUAGUUUUACUAGGUUCCUCAUUAGUAACAGCAGCAACAGCGGAAUCAGAACCAGGUAAAGUACACCCUCUAAGGACAUAUAACUUUGCAGAAUUGAGAUCACCUUUCAAGCAGACAAGAUUACCUCUUGAUACCUUCAGAACACCAUCCGAACCGGAAUAUUUGUAACCUUUUGCAUCAAGCGUGCUCAAUGAGAUAAGAUUUCUGGACAUCCCUGGUAUGUACCUGACUUUUUUCAGAGUACGUGUCAUGCCAUCAUGAGUCUUGAUCUGAACUGAUCCAAUCCCCACAAUAUCACACGGGCUAUUAUCUCCCAUCCGCACAACAUCCCCUUUUUGCACAGGCUUAUACGAGCUAAACCAAUUUCUGUUAAUGCAAAUAUGAAAUGAACAUGCGGAAUCAAGGAUCCAUUCAUCAUGACCAGCAACACAACCGGCAAAUACCACCAAACUAUCUCCAGAUUCUUCAUCAGACACGGCAGCAGCAACAGAGACCUUACCAGCCGACUUAUUUUUCUUCUUCUCCUUAUUCUGUACUUUUCUGCAAUCCUCAACAUUGUGAUUUGUUAGCUUGCAAUAAACACAGAAUUUUUUGUUACCAUGCGGCUUGGACUUUGAACGGCCUCUCCUUUCAUAGUUUUUUCUUCCAUCAUCAUUGGAGGAUCUGUUAUCAGUUCUGCCUCUCACAAGCAAAGCAUCGCCCCUGGAGGACGACGUCCUGUCAUUCUGCACCAUACCUCUCAUUUUCUCCCUUGACUGGAGAGCCUCAUAAACUUCCUUUAAGGUUAGUUCAUCACGGCUCAAGAGUAUGGUGUCACGAAAAUUUGCAUACGAAGUUGGCAAAGAACAUAACAGUAAAAGACCUAAGUCCUCAUCAUCAUACUUCACCUCCAUUGAUACUAGAUCGGCGACGAUCUUCUUGAAUUCAGCGAUGUGGCUCAUCACUAAAUCUUCUUCCUUCAUCUUCAGGGUGAACAGCUUCAUCUUCAUCUGCAUCUUACUGGUUAGAUCCUUGGACAUACAGAUCGAUUCCAGUUUCAGCCAUAGUUCUGCAGCAGUUUUUUCUUUCAGACACUCCUACAAAAUAUCAUUAUGAAGAUGCAACUGUAUUAAGGUGAGCGCCUUCUGAUCCUUGCGGAUCUCUUCUGGAGUCCACUCGGCCUUUGUCUUCUUCCCGAAGCUAUCCAGCGCCUCAUCAUAAUCAUGAGUUUGCGCCAGAAUUCCCCUCAUCUUGACUUGCCAUAGCGAGAACCGCGUGUCGUAGUUCAGCAGCGGUAGAUCAAACUUCAUCGACGUUGACAUGAAAUCCAAACAGUAACCAAAGCUCUGAUACCACUUGUUAUGAACGGCGUAUGGAAUAUGAAGUAAAGAAUCAAACCGCAAAGGAGACACACGAUUUACGUGGAAAACCCCUUCAAUGUGAAGGGGAAAAACCACGGGCACCAGCCGGCAACAAUCUCACUAUCUCAAGAGUUUAGGGUUACAUGCCUAUGGCGGCUUACAAGAGAAUCUGAUAAUCUCUUCUUCUUCUGUCGUCCUAUCUCUAAAACCCUAGCAAGGGUGUAUGUAUAUAUAGUACCAUAACCCUAGACAGGGGUAUUGAGCUGUACGGACUCUUGGUCCCAUGCAAGGAUGGAACUCCUCCUCGUCCGACCUUGAGUCCUUCGUCCUGGAGUCGGAUGCGCCUGGGACUCCGCCUCGCCCGACCUCAAGCCUGGGGUCGGAUGCGCCUGACCCCUUGAGGGUCGAUCUCCGACUCGCCCGACCCCGAGUCCUGGGGUCGGGAGACGCUCCGACUCGCCCGACCCCAAAGUCCAGGGGUCGGGAGAUGCUCCGCCUCGCUCGAUCUCGAGUCCCGGGG
rnacentral:lncRNA from 1 species